UACGUAGGUGGCAAGCGUUGUCCGGAAUUACUGGGUGUAAAGGGAGCGCAGGCGGGAAGCCAAGUCAGCUGUGAAAACUACGGGCUUAACUUGUAGACUGCAGUUGAAACUGGUUUUCUUGAGUGAAGUAGAGGUUGGCGGAAUUCCGAGUGUAGCGGUGAAAUGCGUAGAUAUUCGGAGGAACACCGGUGGCGGAGGCGGCCAACUGGGCUUUAACUGACGCUGAGGCUCGAAAGUGUGGGGAGCAAACAGG
rnacentral:rRNA from 1 species